UUAAGAAAUGGUACAAAGU
rnacentral:snRNA from 1 species